rnacentral:rRNA from 1 species
GUCGGGUGUGAAAUUUCGGAGCUUAACUCCGAAACUGCAUUCGAUACUGCCGGGCUUGAGGACUGGAGAGGAGACUGGAAUUUACGGUGUAGCAGUGAAAUGCGUAGAGAUCGUAAGGAAGACCAGUGGCGAAGGCGGGUCUCUGGACAGUUCCUGACACUGAGGCACGAAGGCCAGGGGAGCAAACGGG